UACAGAGGGGGCAAGCGUUGUUCGGAAUUACUGGGCGUAAAGGGCGCGUAGGCGGCCUGCUAAGUCGAACGUGAAAUCCCUGGGCUCAACCCAGGAACUGCGUCCGAUACUGGUUGGCUUGAAUCCGGGAGAGGGAUGCGGAAUUCCAGGUGUAGCGGUGAAAUGCGUAGAUAUCUGGAGGAACACCGGUGGCGAAGGCGGCAUCCUGGACCGGCAUUGACGCUGAUGCGCGAAAGCGUGGGUAGCAAACAGG
rnacentral:rRNA from 1 species